rnacentral:rRNA from 1 species
CCCUUAGACGUUCUGGGCCGCACGCGCGCUACACUGACGAAGGCAACGAGCUUUCCUUUACCGAAAGGUACGGGUAAUCUUUUGAAACUUCGUCGUGCUGGGGAUAGAUCCUUGCAAUUUUUGAUCUUAAACGGGGAAUGCCUAGUAAGCGCAAGUCAUCAACUUGCGUUGAUUACGUCCCUGCCCUUUGUACACACCGCCCGUCGCUACUACCGAUUGAAUGGUUUAGUGAGGCCUUCGGAUCCGCGACUCGUUUGUGGAGAAGUUGGACAAACUCAGUCAUUUAGAGGAAGUAAAAGUCGUAACA